GACGUAGGGGGCAAGCGUUAUUCGGAAUUAUUGGGCGUAAAGCGCUCGUAGGCGGGACUGGAAGUCCGUGUUGAAAGACCUCGGCUCAACUGAGGGACCGGCUCGGAUACUCUAGUUCUUGAGGCAAUCAGAGGGUGAUGGAAUUCCCGGUGUAGAGGUGAAAUUCGUAGAUAUUCGCAAGAACACCAGUGGCGAAGGCGGCUCACUGGCCCGGUACUGACGCUGAGGCACGAAAGCGUGGGGAGCAAACAGG
rnacentral:rRNA from 1 species